AUACGGAGGGUGCAAGCGUUACUCGGAAUCACUGUGCGUAAAGCGCGCGCAGGCGGCUAUUUAAGUUGGAUGUGAAAGCCUACGGCUCAACCGUAGAACUGCAUCCAAAACUAUUUAGCUAGAGUGUGGGAGAGGAAGAUGGAAUUAGUUGUGUAGGGGUAAAAUCCGUAGAGAUAACUAGGAAUACCAAAAGCGAAGGCAAUCUUCUGGAACACUACUGACGCUGAGGCGCGAAAGCGUGGGGAGCAAACAGGAUUAGAAACCCCUGUAGUCC
rnacentral:rRNA from 1 species